rnacentral:lncRNA from 1 species
CACAUACAACAAAUCCUAAGGUUUCAAGAUCUAAGAUUUUACAAGAAAGUAAAUUUUUUCUUUUCGCUUUCUUCUUCAUAGGACCUCACAGUGGCACCUCUACACACCAUAAGAGCACCCUAUUGAAUGGGGAGAGAGGGUCAUAUAACCCUACUUGCUCCUAUGAUCGGAUGGCCUGGUGAUUACUCAAUCUGAGUAUUUUACUACUCAGAUCAUCUAAUCUAACAUAUAAAUAACUAGAUCUGAAAAUAAAAUAUAUUUAGAUCUAAUCUAAAUAGUAAAUAAUCAGAUCUA